rnacentral:misc_RNA from 1 species
UCCGGAUUAACUCCGGCAGUUUCCUUAGAGUUCUCAGCAUUACCUGUUAGCAACAAAGGAUGAGGGUUGCGCUCGUUGCGGGACUUAACCCAACAUCUCACGACACGAGCUGACGACAGCCAUGCAGCACCUGUGCUCCUCCCACCCGAAGUGAAGGGAUCCAUCUCUGGUUCCCAUAGAGGGCAUGUCAAGGCCUGGUAAGGUUCUUCGCGUUGCCUCGAAUUAAACCACAUGUUCCACCGCUUGUGCGGGUCCCCGUCAAUUUCUUUGAGUUUUAAUCUUGCGACCGUACUCCCCAGGCGGGAUGCUUAACGCGUUAACUACGCCACUGACCCUGCCGAACUACGCAUCACGUAGUUCGGUAGGGCCAACGGCUAGCAUCCAUCGUUUACGGCGUGGA